rnacentral:rRNA from 1 species
GAUGAACGCUAGCGGCAGGCUUAACACAUGCAAGUCGAGGGGCAGCAUAAUGGAUAGCAAUAUCUAUGGUGGCGACCGGCGCACGGGUGCGUAACGCGUAUGCAACCUACCUUUAACAGGGGGAUAACACUGAGAAAUUGGUACUAAUACCCCAUAAUAUCAUAGAAGGCAUCUUUUAUGGUUGAAAAUUCCGAUGGUUAGAGAUGGGCAUGCGUUGUAUUAGCUAGUUGGUGAGGUAACGGCUCACCAAGGCGACGAUACAUAGGGGGACUGAGAGGUUAACCCCCCACACUGGUACUGAGACACGGACCAGACUCCUACGGGAGGCAGCAGUGAGGAAUAUUGGUCAAUGGGACGCAAGUCUGAACCAGCCAUGCCGCGUGCAGGAUGACGGCUCUAUGAGUUGUAAACUGCUUUUGUACUAGGGUAAACUCACCUACGUGUAGGUGACUGAAAGUAUAGUACGAAUAAGGAUCGGCUAACUCCGUG